UACGGGGGGGCAAGCGUUGUUCGGAAUUACUGGGCGUAAAGGGCUCGUAGGUGGCCAACUAAGUCAGACGUGAAAUCCCUCGGCUUAACCGGGGAACUGCGUCUGAUACUGGAUGGCUUGAGUUUGGGAGAGGGACGCGGAAUUCCAGGUGUAGCGGUGAAAUGACGUAGAUAUCUGGAGGAACACCGGUGGCGAAGGCGGCGUCCUGGACCAACACUGACACUGAGGCGCGAAAGCUAGGGGAGCAAACAGG
rnacentral:rRNA from 1 species